GACAGAGGGUGCAAACGUUGUUCGGAAUUACUGGGCGUAAAGCGCGCGUAGGCGGACUGGCAAGUCAGAUGUGAAAGCCCCGGGCUCAACUUGGGAACUGCAUUUGAUACUGCCAGACUAGAGUACAGAAGAGGUGACUGGAAUUCCCAGUGUAGCGGUGAAAUGCGUAGAUAUUGGGAGGAACACCAGAUGCGAGGGCGGGUCACUGGGCUGAUACUGACGCUGAGGCGCGAAAGCCAGGGGAGCGAACGGG
rnacentral:rRNA from 1 species